rnacentral:rRNA from 1 species
UACGUAGGGAGCAAGCGUUGUCCGGAAUCAUUGGGCGUAAAGCGCGUGUAGGCGGUUACCUAAGUCUGUUGUGAAAGGCGGAGGCUCAACCUUCGAAAGCCGAUGGAUACUGUGUGACUUGAGUACGGAAGAGGAGAGUGGAAUUCCUGGUGUAGCGGUGAAAUGCGCAGAUAUCAGGAGGAACACCAACGGCGAAGGCAGCUCUCUGGGACGUUACUGACGCUGAGACGCGAAAGCGUGGGGAGCAAACAGG